GCGUGACUCAUGUGUUGGUAAUAGAUGGCUUCUCCAGCAAAAUUGUUGGACAAGCUACUAUGCCUGUAAAGAACAACCUCACCAUCUACAAUGACGUUUACAGGAGUGCAGUAAUGGAAUAUGGGAUGUGGGACCAGGUCAGAGUGGAUCAUGGAAAGGAGUUCUACCUCACUCUUUUCAUGCAGGAGAAGUUGGCCAGCCACCGCCACAACACUGAAAGGCCACCAUAUCUCCAAACACCAUCGACAAAGAAUGGUUAACUGAAGAUAUUGAAAUGUGUGAAA